rnacentral:misc_RNA from 1 species
AUGCGAUAAGUAAUGUGAAUUGCAGAAUUCAGUGAAUCAUCGAAUCUUUGAACGCACCUUGCGCUCCUUGGUAUUCCGAGGAGCAUGCCUGUUUGAGUGUCAUUAAAUUCUCAAUCCAUGUGAUUUUUUCACAUGGACUUGGAUGUGGGAGCUUGCAGGCUUUUUAAGUCUGCUCUCCUUAAAUGCAUUAGCUGGACUUUUUGUGGCAGCCUAUGGUGUGAUAAUUAUCUACGCCUUGACUGAUGCAUUUCUGUGGUCAAGCUUCUAACAGUCCAUUCAAUUGGACAACUCAAUUGACAAUUUGACCUCAAAUCAGGUAGGACUACCCGCUGAACUUAA